AUUUCUGGUCAUAUUCCUGAUGUGAUUGGGAAGUUACAAAAGCUUCAGACACUUGAUCUUUCCAACAAUAAAUUUGAAGGCGAAAUACCCACUUCCUUCGAAGACCUGAAGAAUUUGAAUUAUUUGGAUGUCUCUUAUAAUAAUCUAAGUGGUACCCUUCCUAAACUAUCAGCACGAGCUUUCAAAGUGCUGGGGAAUCCUUUAAUUUGUGGUCAAGGUUCUGAGAAU
rnacentral:misc_RNA from 1 species